UUAGCUUUGGUAGCAUUUUUACGUACAGUUGUGGUCAAAAGUUUACAUACACUUGUAAAAAACAUAAUGUCAUGGCUGUCUUGAGUUUCCAAUAAGUUCUACAACUCUUAUUUUUCUGUGAUAGAGUGAUCGGAACACA